AGAAUCCUCAGCGCCUGAGCCCCCCGCCCCUUUUGUCUGCGUUAGUGAAGGAAUUGGCUCUUCAAGGUUGCGACUAAAGAAAGCCGUCGAGAGAACAAAUAGAUGUAAUCCAGACAAAUAUGUGAACAAGUGCUUGGAAACACAUUUCUGAACAAUUCCCUUUAUGACAAUUCCCUCAGAGUUGGAAGAGACAACAAUUGAUGACUAUAAUGCCAAUUAAGUAGAAUGGGUAUGAAUGUCUGAAAAUAAGCUGGAAAUUUUAAGGCCAAAAUUCUUCGAAAUACAAAGAAAAACCCUUUCUGAAGACAAAUAGCUGUAGAAGUUCUCCUCAAUGCAUACAAAUGAUAAUUCUUAAAACACAAUGACUGAAAGUAUUUAUUUGCAACAAAUUUAUUUGACCACUUAUUCAAGGGCUGCUCGUCCAAGAGCUAUAUUAAGGUCUAUUUACUUUAUCCCUACCAAAGGCGGUAUUUUUUGAGGAUAGAAACUACAUCUCAUGGAGUUUAUCACUCAGAGUGCCUACUUAGGAGACUGCUUGCAUACUGAAUGAAACGAAGGAAGAAUGAAUGAAUAAUUUGGGACCCCACCUCCCAACACACUUCCACAUAUCGAAAUGCACACGGAAUGAGGUACAUCUUCUAAGGAGAGUGGCAUUGAAGAGUAAUCAAAACAACAGGAUAUUCACAGGAGGACUGGAAUAAAACGAAAUUUCCAGUGAAAAAGAUUACUCAAAAUAUUUAUUCAAUACACUCUGAAAUUGGAAACUGAG
rnacentral:lncRNA from 1 species